CCUACGGGUGGCAGCAGUGGGGGAUAUUGCACAAUGGGGGGAACCCUGAUGCAGCGACGCCGCGUGGGUGAAGGAGUGCUUCGGCAUGUAAAGCCCUAUCGGCAGGGAAGAAGCAAGACGGUACCUGACUAAGAAGCCCCGGCUAACAACGUGCCAGCAGCCGCGGUAAUACGUAGGUGGCGAGCGUUAUCCGGAUUCACUGGGUGUAAAGGGAGCGUAGGCGGAAUGCCAAGUCAUCGGUAAAAUCGCGGGGCUAAACCUCGCUCCGCCGUUGAAACUGCCGUUCUUGAGUGGGCGAGAAGUAUGCGGAAUGCGUGGUGUAGCGGUGAAAUGCAUAGAGAUCACGCAGAACUCCGAUUGCGAAGGCAACAUACCGGCGCCCAACUGACGCUGAGGCACGAAAGCGUGGGUAUCGAACAGGAUUAGAUACCCUAGUAGUC
rnacentral:rRNA from 1 species